rnacentral:rRNA from 1 species
UUUCCCCUACGGGGGGCAGCAGUGAGGAAUAUUGGUCAAUGGGCUUACGCCUGAACCAGCCAAGUCGCGUGAGGGAAGACUGCCCUAUGGGUUGUAAACCUCUUUUGUCAGGGAGCAACGCCGGCUACGUGUAGCCGGACUGAGAGUACCUGAAGAAAAAGCAUCGGCUAACUCCGUGCCAGCAGCCGCGGUAAUACGGAGGAUGCGCGCGUUAUCCGGAUUUAUUGGGUUUAAAGGGUGCGUAGGCGGAAUGCCAAGUCAGCGGUAACAUCGCGGGGCUCACCCUCGCUACGCCGUUGCAACUG